rnacentral:misc_RNA from 1 species
CAACAGGGAUUGCCCUAGUAACGGCGAGUGAAGCGGCAACAGCUCAAAUUUGAAAUCUGGCUCUCGGGCCCGAGUUGUAAUUUGUAGAGGAUGCUUUUGGUGAGGUGCCUUCCGAGUUCCCUGGAACGGGACGCCACAGAGGGUGAGAGCCCCGUCUGGUUGGACACCGAUCCUCUGUAAAGCUCCUUCGACGAGUCGAGUAGUUUGGGAAUGCUGCUCUAAAUGGGAGGUAUAUGUCUUCUAAAGCUAAAUACCGGCCAGAGACCGAUAGCGCACAAGUAGAGUGAUCGAAAGAUGAAAAGAACUUUGAAAAGAGAGUUAAAAAGUACGUGAAAUUGUUGAAAGGGAAGCGCUUGUGACCAGACUUGGGCUUGGUUGAUCAUCCAGGGUUCUCCCUGGUGCACUCUUCCGGCCCAGGCCAGCAUCAGUUCGCCCCGGGGGAAAAAGGCUUCGGGAAUGUGGCUCUCUCCGGGGAGUGUUA